rnacentral:RNase_P_RNA from 2 species
UCGGGAGGCUGGGCAAUCGCUCCUCGGACCGUUUCCUCGCGAAACGGUCCCCGAGGGGAGGAAAGUCCGGGCUCCAACGAGCAAGAUGGUCGAUAACGUCGACCGGUCGUAAGGCCAGGGAAAGUGCAACAGAAAGAUACCGCCAGAGCCGUAAGGUUUUGGUAAGGGUGAAAUGGUGGGGUAAGAGCCCACCAGGGGACGGGUGACUGCUCCCCUCGGCAAACCCCAUCUGGAGCAAGAUCCAACAGAGUGAGGCGCUCAAUUUCGAGCGCCGCAUCCGGCUCGUGAUGCCAACACUCGGGUAGAUCGCUCGAGCCGCCGAGCAAUCGGUGGCCUAGAUGAAUGAUUGCCCUUGGCGAUCCAAUCGCCAUGACAGAACCCGGCUUACAAGCCUCCCGACUUU